UACAGAGGAGCCAAGCGUUGUCCGGAUUGACUGGGCGUAAAGCGCACGCAGGCGGACGCGCGCGUGGGGUGUGAAAUCUGGCCGCUUAACGGCCAGGCGCCAUCCCAUACGGCGCGUCUGGAGUGAUGCAGAGGUCGGUGGAAUUGCCGGUGUAGUGGUGAAAUGCGUAGAGAUCCGGAGGAAGACCGGUGGCGAAGGCGGUCUGCUGGGCAGUUUCUGACACUGAUGCGCGACAGCGUGGGGAGCAAACAGG
rnacentral:rRNA from 1 species